GAUGAAGAACGCAGCGAAAUGCGAUAAGUAAUGUGAAUUGCAGAAUUCAGUGAAUCAUCGAAUCUUUGAACGCACAUUGCGCCCGCCAGUAUUCUGGCGGGCAUGCCUGUUCGAGCGUCAUUUCAACCAUCAAGCCCCCGGGCUUGUGUUGGGGACCUGCGGCUGCCGCAGGCCCUGAAAAGCAGUGGCGGGCUCGCUGUCACACCGAGCGUAGUAGCAUACAUCUCGCUCUGGGCGUGCUGCGGGUUCCGGCCGUUAAACCACCUUUUAACCCAAGGUUGACCUCGGAUCAGGUAGGAAGACCCGCUGAACUUAAGCAUAUCAAUAAGGCGGAGGA
rnacentral:misc_RNA from 1 species